ACUGAUUAAGAAGAAAUUUUCUUAUAAAUAGAUUUACAAUCUAC
rnacentral:tRNA from 1 species